AGACAGAGAAUGAAAAAGAAAAAGAAAAAGAAAGAUCGAACUAAGAAAGAAGAAAACUGAAAAUGCCUUUCUUUCUCUUUCUUUCUCUUUCUCUUCUCUUUUCUCUCUCUUUCUCAAAACCACAACCGGACCAUGGCAAACUUUUGGCUGUUGUGAAGUGCACAACAACAGAAGAUCAAAAAGGAGGAGGAAGUUUAGUUAUU
rnacentral:ribozyme from 1 species